rnacentral:lncRNA from 1 species
AUUGGGGAUUAGUGAAGCGUUACCUAUGUUGACGGUAACGAGUUUUUGUGAGCCACGAUCCCAUUAUUAUGAUGGAUCGGGUGUGAGUAGCUAAUUCCUAUUAUGGCAGAUUUGUGGCGCGUUACCUAUGGUGAUGGUAGCGAUUUUGGUGUGCUCUGGUUCCAAGAGGGAAUCGAUCCUAUGGUGGGGAUCAUGGAGUGAGAUGAACUUGAGUGUUC